rnacentral:lncRNA from 1 species
CAGUCACGUAGCUUUCUGUUACCCUGGAGGUCCACUCCUCUGUGGUGUAGUGAGCAGUCACGUAGCUUUCUGUUACCCUGGAGGUCCACUCCUCUGUGGUGUAGUGAGCAGUCACGUAGCUUUCUGUUACCCUGGAGGUCCACUCCUCUGUGGUGUAGUGAGCAGUCACAGUCACGUAGCUUUCUGUUACCCUGGAGGUCCACUCCUCUGUGGUGUAGUGAGCAGUCACAGUCACGUAGCUUUCUGUUACCCUGGAGGUCCACUCCUCUGUGGUGUAGUGAGCAGUCACAGUCACGUAGCUUUCUGUUACCCUGGAGGUCCACCUGUCUGUGUUGAGGGCAACAGAGGAUGCCUUGGAUAAUUUGUCGACAAUUUUGGGGAUUUCAUAGCGUGGCUCAAGCACUUUCACCAUAUUUUUAAACCCUUUGUUUUCCACAACAGAGUAUGGCCUCAUGUCUGCAGUGAUAAACAUCCCAAUAGAUUUGGUGAUGGCUUCAGCCCGGUCUGAUUCUGCAGCAAAGGGCUUAAAUGUCGCGGUGAGAAGUUGUUGUCUCUUGGCUGAGUUGGCUCCCGUCACUGACACACCAGGGUGACGACGCUUUAAAUGAGUGUCCAUGCUCCAUGUAUUUCCAUGAUCAUACGGCUUUCAUGUGGCACAAUGGCUACACACCGUAAUGGUGUUGUCCACCACCCUUCUUCCAUCAUCAUAUUUGACAGGGAAGACAAAAUGCUCCCAUACAUGAGACUUAAAUGAAGCGGGAGGCUUUUCCAGUUCUUCAGCUCUUUUUUCUUCUUUGCAACGCGAGCAUCCAGGAUUGAUUCGUUGGGAUUCAACAUGCCUCGUUCACGUGAACAGUACACACAAGUGCUUUAAAAAAAGAAUAAAACCAACUUUCAGGCUUCAGAGUAAAACACAGCACGCAUCUGUUUUGUCUUUAUCUUUUCACUUUCGACUCAGCAUCGAGAUGUAGGGAAUUAUUACUUUAAAAAGUAACAGC